UCGGAACAUGACACGUGGCAUUCUUAAGAAAAUAUUAUCUUUUAUGUCUACAAGGAUUCCACAUGCCAAGCCUUAAGUGGCUCCAAUGAUCCUAAAGUGCAUGGCAAAAAUCCACUAGGGAUAAGCUGUGUCUGUGUCUGAGUGUUUCCCAUGUCUGUGGUUGAUGUGCAGUGUACCCAAUGUCCAUUAAGCAACUUCAUUUCCAAUGGCUAUUUCCAGAUCUCCAGAUUGGUCAGUAGCUUCUAUUAACUCUUGCAGAGAAACCCACAAAAUCAUCAUCUUCUCUCCAUCAUGGAAGACCCUUUCUUUUCUCUCUCCUACAUGCUCCUCCAAUUUUCCUCUUUUCCAGGUCAACUCUUCCAGUUGCCCAUCUGCAAUCUUGGAAGAGCGAUCCAGCACAAAUUUUCCGGUCAUCCAAUGGGACUUGAGAGUUCAAGAUUCUCAAGAACAUCAGGUACCGGACACACAGAAUUUAAACGACUUCUUAUGUGGAGUUCUGCUGGAUCCACGAACUGAACACUUUGCAUAUCAGUACUACAAGAAAGCAAAAGAGAGGCAAGAAUUUAGGCCAGAAAAAUCAAUGCUAAAGCUUCUAAUAAGGUAUUUGAUACGAUCAAAGAAUUGGGAUUUCAUUUUAUCAGUUUCUUAUGAUUUUAACAAGUACAGUGCGUGGCCUGAUAGUCAUACUUGUUCAAUACUUGUCAGUAGUUGCAUUAAAGCUAGAAAAUUCAGAGUUGUAGAGUCUUUACUGGAAAUUUUCAAAUCUUAUGGUGAAAUUGCCGUCUUGGCUUUUGAUUCCGCAAUGAGAGGCUAUAAUAAGCUACAUAUGUAUGGUAGAACAAUUUUUGUGUUCGAGAAAAUGAAAUUAUCACGCAUUUCUAUGGACUCUGGGAGUUAUUGCCAGAUAAUGAAGGCAUACCAGAAAAGCGGUGAUACAGAGAGAGUGCUUGCAUUGUUUCAUGAAUUUGAAAGUAGAAAAUUGGAACAUUCAAGACCAGUUUUAAGCCAAAUAUAUAGGGUGUUAUGCGAAUCAUUAGGGAAAUCAGGCCGAGCUUUUGAAGCUCUUGAAUACUUCGGGGACAUGAGAAAGAAAGGGAUUUUGGGGGACUCUCGAAUUUACUCUUCUUUAAUCUGUUCAUUUGCAAGCAUUCGAGAGAUAAAUAUAGCAGAAGAGCUAUUUAAAGAAGCAGAAGAAAAGAAAAUGUUGAGGGAUCCUGAAAUUUUCUUGAAACUUGUCUUGAUGUAUGUGGAAGAAGGGCAAAUGGAGAAGACUCUUGAGAUUGUUAAGGUGAUGAAACGUGUAAAAAUGAAGGUGUCUGAUUGCAUUUUCUGUGCAAUUAUUAAUGGGUUUGCUAGAAGGAGAGGGUUCCAUGCUUCGGUAAGGGUUUAUGAGGAGUUGAACUCUGAAAGCUGUGAACCUGGACAGGUGACCUAUGCUUCAAUAAUAAACGCAUAUUGUCGAACUGGAUUGUAUUCUAAAGCUGAAAUGGUGUUCUUGGAGAUGCAGGAAAAAGGGUUUGAUAAAUGUGUGGUUGCUUAUUCUAGUAUAAUUACAAUGUAUGGGAAGACAGGGAGGCUAAGAGAUGCAAUGAGGCUCGUGGCGAAAAUGAAAGUAAAUGGGUGCGAGCCAAAUGUGUGGAUAUACAAUUCUCUCUUGGAUAUGCAUGGGAGGGUCAAGAACUUGAGACAGGUGGAUAAGCUAUGGAAGGAAAUGAAGAGAAGGAAAGUAGCACCAGAUAAGGUAAGUUACACUAGCGUUAUUAAUGCAUACAGUAAGGCAAAAGAGUUUGAUUUGUGUGUGAGAUACUACAAUGAGUACAGAAUCAAUGGAGGCAUGAUUGAUAGGGCUAUGGCAGGAAUAAUGGUAGGAGUUUUCUCCAAAAUUGGGCGAAUCGACGAGUUGUUAAGGCUUCUUCAGAACAUGAAAACAGAAGGGACACAGUUAGAUGAGAGGCUUUACAGGUCUGCUUUCAAUGCAUUGAGGGAUGCGGGUCUGCAAAUGCAAUCCGAAUGGUUGCAGGAAAGCUUUGAGGCAAUGUAUAUAUAAUGUAGGUGAUCUGUAUGCCUGGAAAAUUUUUGCCUAUUUUGUAUUUAAGACACAAAUACCUGCUACUUAUACCCCACCAUAAUCUUGUCUCUGAUGUCCAUAAUAGAAAAAAACCCAAAUGAUUAUAUUAGAUGGAAAUGAACUAGUGGUUGCUGUUUAAAAAAAUAGUGGUUAAAAUAAAAAAGAGAAUCUCUAAUUUGAAUUCUACCAGUCUUAACUCUCAAUACAGACAAAACCCCAUUCUCAGACAAAGAUGAAAUUCUGUGGGUUUUGAUUGUCCCUUUGUUUAAC
rnacentral:misc_RNA from 1 species